UGAGAGUUGCAGAGAGCGUUUGGAGGAGGAGCGUUUCAAAAAGCUUUGGUGGGAGUGGGGGUGGGAAUACGAAGGAGAGGAAUUUGAGUCUGUGUGUUUUGACUGAGGCAGACUGUAAAAGAGUAGGUUAACUUUAGUAAAUAGGUGUAAAACGGUAAAAAUAAAAAAAAACAUAAAGAUUAAUUUUGUAUUUAAAAAAAAUCCAAAAAAAUUGGGGGGUGGGAGUUGGAAUUGGGGAGGUACAGGGAGUAACUCCCAUAAAUUUGUAAUAUACUUUCUAUGUAUAAUCAAGUUAUUUUGUCAUUUAAAAAAAAAAA
rnacentral:lncRNA from 1 species